UACUGCAUUUUUUCUUACACAUGUGUUUUUCUUUUUGAAAACUUUGCUUUGGUAGGCCACUAUAUGGGGCCUGCCAGAGAUUAAACUCAACCAAAUUUUAUUUAAUGUCAACCGAUUAUUUAAUAGUCAAAACUUUCAACAACGGAUCUCUUGGUUCUCGCAUCGAUGAAGAACGCAGCGAAAUGCGAUAAGUAAUAUGAAUUGCAGAUAUUCGUGAAUCAUCGAAUCUUUGAACGCACAUUGCGCCCUUUGGUAUUCCAAAGGGCAUGCCUGUUUGAGCGUCAUUUCUCCCUCAAACCCUCGGGUUUGGUGUUGAGCGAUACGCUGGGUUUGCUUGAAAGAAAGGCGGAGUAUAAACUAAUGGAUAGGUUUUUUCCACUCAUUGGUACAAACUCCAAAACUUCUUCCAAAUUCGACCUCAAAUCAGGUAGGACUACCCGCUGAACUUAAGCAUAUCAAUAAGCGGAGG
rnacentral:rRNA from 1 species